rnacentral:lncRNA from 1 species
ACUAUUAUCAUUCGUUUAUUUCUAUUUUUUAUUUUCACCAUUCUAAGACAAGGUGCAAGAGUGGAGGGAUUAGGACUAACUGUACAUCCCUGGCAUCUUCAGUUUCAAAUACGUGCUCAGUGAACAUUUGUUGAAUGCAUGAGCGCAUGAAUGAACUGCACAGAAUAAGAGAUGACAAGUUGAGUGUCAUGACAUGCUAGGGACUGACAACUAGAUGAUAGAUCUUCAAAUCUCUCACACAAACAAAUGUGACUUGGGGUAAAGCUCUCAGAGCUAUCAUCAGUUUAGAAAACAUUUGCUCUAUCCUUGUCACAUACAUUGUUUCACUUUUUUUGAGAAAAAAAUACUGGAGUAAACUUCUAAGUGUUACAAUGAUGCAAGAUUUUAAGCAUUUGUUUUUUGAUCUGUUGUAUUUUUCUCUUCAUUUCUCAUGUAAUUAAGGAUUUUAAAUGCCAUUUUGGCACAGGAUGUCAGAGCACAAGCAUGGUGAAAUGGAAUCUGUGUCAGGAAGAAGGUGGAAGAGAUAUGACAUUGGUUAAACAGAGAAUUGAUGAAAUAAGAAAAUAAGUUGAAAAAAUAAAACAAAACCAGGUGACAAAUUUCUCAAAGCCAGAGAAAGGAUUAAAAGUAUGGAAUGGAAUUAAACAGAAUAUCCAGGUGAUUUAGGUCUGCUGUAAGAAAAUCCAUAAAAUUAUACAGGGAUCUUCCACAGAUGUGAUAUUUUAGAGGACUCAAUAUUUUUGUGGAAUACUGGGACAUCCCUUGAAAAGUUAAAGACCAGACAGUGCCAUUUGUACUUCUCACCACUCAGAAAGAAACACAACAAAUGGUAGACCUCUUUGGGAUUCAGCGACAGUGUUUUGAAAACUUGGAAGACAGGGCUUAGAUGGAAUACAUGAGUCUGAUAAUGAAGGAGUGGAAGUAUCAGUGAUCCCACUCACCAGUACACCCAGGGACCACCUGAGGCAUUUGUGUUUCCUGUUCUCUCAUCAUUAUGCUCUCUCAGUCUAAAGUGGGUCACUUCCACAAGGAGAUGUAGUAAGAGUAUCACUAGACUUAAAGCUAUAAGUGCUGCCUGGAGAUUUGGGGCUCUUUGUUCCAGUAGACCGGCAGGUGCAGAAGGAAGUUACCAUGCUAAAAAAGUUUACUUUAUCAGGACAGAGAACUUGACAACCAGGGUCUUAUAUGUAAAAAUACCCGAAUAA